GACAGAGGGUGCAAACGUUGUUCGGAAUUACUGGGCGUAAAGCGUGUGUAGGCGGCCGUGCAAGUCGGAUGUGAAAGCCCCGGGCUCAACCCGGGAAGUGCACCCGAAACUGCAAGGCUCGAGUACCGGAGAGGUUGGUGGAAUUCUCGGUGUAGAGGUGAAAUUCGUAGAUAUCGAGAGGAACACCGGUGGCGAAGGCGGCCAACUGGACGAGUACUGACGCUGAGACACGAAAGCGUGGGGAGCAAACAG
rnacentral:rRNA from 1 species